rnacentral:rRNA from 1 species
CUACGUGCCAGCAGCCGCGGUAAUACGGAAGGUCCAGGCGUUAUCCGGAUUUAUUGGGUUUAAAGGGAGCGUAGGCUGGAGAUUAAGUGUGUUGUGAAAUGUAGACGCUCAACGUCUGACUUGCAGCGCAUACUGGUUUCCUUGAGUACGCACAACGUUGGCGGAAUUCGUCGUGUAGCGGUGAAAUGCUUAKAUAUGACGAAGAACUCCGAUUGCGAAGGCAGCUGACGGGAGCGCAACUGACGCUUAAGCUCGAAGGUGCGGGUAUCGAACAGGAUUAGAUACCCUGGUAGUCCGCACGGUAAACGAUGAAUACUCGCAGUUCGGUCAUUAUGAUUGAGUUGUCCAGCGAAAGCGUUAAGUAUUCCACCUGGGGAGUACGCCGGCAACGGUGAAACUCAAAGGAAUUGACGGGGGCCCGCACAAGCGGAGGAACAUGUGGUUUAAUUCGAUGAUACGCGAGGAACCUUACCCGGGCUUGAAC